rnacentral:rRNA from 1 species
AUUGAACGCUGGCGGCAUGCCUUACACAUGCAAGUCGAACGGCAGCACGGGAGCAAUCCUGGUGGCGAGUGGCAAACGGGUGAGUAAUAUAUCGGAACGUGCCCAGUCGUGGGGGAUAACGUAGCGAAAGCUACGCUAAUACCGCAUACGAUCUAUGGAUGAAAGCGGGGGAUCGCAAGACCUCGCGCGAUUGGAGCGGCCGAUAUCAGAUUAGGUAGUUGGUGAGGUAAAGGCUCACCAAGCCGACGAUCUGUAGCUGGUCUGAGAGGACGACCAGCCACACUGGGACUGAGACACGGCCCAGACUCCUACGGGAGGCAGCAGUGGGGAAUUUUGGACAAUGGGCGCAAGCCUGAUCCAGCAAUGCCGCGUGCAGGAUGAAGGCCUUCGGGUUGUAAACUGCUUUUGUACGGAACGAAACGGUGAGCUCUAAUACAGUUUGCUAAUGACGGUACCGUAAGAAUAAGCACCGGCUAACUACGUG